UCGCCUGUUUAUCAAAAACAUGUCUUUAUUGAUUUUAAGUAUAAAGUUUAACCUGCCCACUGAUAUAAAUUAAAUGGCUGCAGUAUAUUGACUGUACAAAGGUAGCAUAAUAAUUAGUUUUUUAAUUGAAAACUGGAAUGAAUGGUUGGAUGAAAUAUAAACUGUUUUUAAAAAAUUAUAAUAGAAUUUUAUAUUUAAGUAAAAAAGCUUAAAUAUAAUUAAAAGACGAGAAGACCCUAUAAAUCUUUAUAUAAUAUAAUAAUAAUUUAAUUUAGAAUAUUUAUAAUUGUUAAUAUAUUAUAUUUUAUUGGGGUGAUAGUAAAAUUUAAUAAACUUUUAUAUAUUUAUUUCAUUAAUUUAUGGUUAUUUUGAAUAAUUAAUAAUGAUUAUUAAAAUAAGUUACUUUAGGGAUAACAGCGUAA
rnacentral:rRNA from 1 species